rnacentral:rRNA from 1 species
UACGUAGGGUGCAAGCGUUAAUCGGAAUUACUGGGCGUAAAGCGUGCGCAGGCGGUUGUGCAAGACAGAUGUGAAAUCCCCGGGCUCAACCUGGGAACUGCAUUUGUGACUGCACGGCUGGAGUGCGGCAGAGGGGGAUGGAAUUCCGCGUGUAGCAGUGAAAUGCAUAGAUAUGCGGAGGAACACCGAUGGCGAAGGCAAUCCCCUGGGCCUGCACUGACGCUCAUGCACGAAAGCGUGGGGAGCAAACAGG